rnacentral:lncRNA from 10 species
UUCCAGACCCUUCUUAAAUAUUAUCGUGUAUACCAGCUUUAUUAUUUAGCUCUGCAAUACUGCUAAAUUGGUCAAUUACUUCCCUGCCUCCCCACCCUCCAACUGAAUUCUCACCACCCUUGAGGGAAAACAGUCUGGGUUCCCUGUGGAACAUCAUUUCUCAAAACUGUAUUUUGGGGCUUGCUUUCUCAUUUUUCCUUUCCAUUUCAGAUAUCCUUACUGCUGUCUUUGGGCUCUUUAAACACUGCCUUUUUUCCUUUUUCGAUCACACCCAAAAACUUUUCUCAAAAAUUACAUGUAAAUUUAAAAAUUUACAAAUUAAAUUUAAAAUUGAAAUUUUAAAAAUCCCGACUCUCCCUAAUUUCAGGAAGCAUGCAUUUAUUAUACAUAACAAGACGUGAAAGCCGCAAGAGUUUCAGCCUAAACACUGAAGACCCCGCGAAGUGAAUCCAGCUGCUGCUCUACAAGCAGCAACAACAACUGGGAAGCCUUCUCAGCUACACUUCGGGGCACUGGUCCAACCCCACGCAAAAUCCCUCGUUUCCCUUAGCGUGGUAAGACGGAGCCUGACCUGAGCUCCAACUGUCCUAUCUUUUUCAAAUGUUUCAAACUUACUGCCUUUGUUCAGCAGAACCACGGGCACGGUGAUGAUGGUGACAAGCGCAGCAGCACCCAGCAGUCCCAGAAGAACCUUCCACGGUGUCUGCAAGCCGAGCAGAUCAAGUCCAAUUAGAGGGAAGCGUGUGGCCCCAGUUUCCGUAGGAGGGUCGGGGCUGCUCCAGAGGCAGCAGGAUUUGCAGGUGGGAGUGCGUUAGAAGAGGGAGACCGCGGGCUGGGGGUGGGGGUGGCGUCUGGAGUGCGCCAGUUGGAGUUCUCUAAGGCGGGUGCCCUUGAACUUGUGCCUUCAGAGCACAUUAGCGUUGGUUUCUCUACCCCUGCCCGGGUUCGGGCGUGCGUUCUGUGAGUGGCUCUCCGGGACAUUCAAAGCUCGACGCCAGGGUCCUAGCAGAAGCCAGGGUCCGAAAGCUAAGCGAGAGCUCUGGGACGUCCCUUCACCUGUCAGAGGGUGGCCUUGGGGCUUCCGCCUAAGGGGAGUCCCUGGUCCGGUUUCGCCAGCUUUUGGGCCAUUUGGGGAGUUUGGCGAAGAGGUCCCCACAGCUCGCCCCGGGGACGUACGUGGCGCGGCACUCACCUUCAUCGUCGGCGUCUCCUCGGAAGUGAGCGUUCAGAGAAGGAGCGCAGGCAGAAGUCACCGCGGGCGGCGGAGACGCGCGUCCUGCACCGCUGCUCCGGGCGGUGGAGUCACUCGCCGCUGGAAGGAAGACUGUACACAGAGAAUAAAUAACUUGGCCAAGCCAUUCAGCUAGGAAGUUGUAGAUCCUAAAUUAAGAGUUCAAGGUCUUAAUGGCUACUCUAUGCGGCCUCUCAUAGUCUUUUCAAGGGUUUUGGAGAAGAAUAAAAGAUCAGUCAUCCACAGAUGUUUGAGUGGUUACAAUGUGCCAGCCUCCCUUCUAGGUACUGGAGAUAAAGUGGGACAAGAGAGGUGAGGUCUGGACCCUUGGCACUUUCACGAUAAAAUACACAGGUAAACAUUUGCCUUUAGGGCCCCCUGUGAUUACUUCCACUCUUGCAGAUAAGAGGAUAAGGCCUCUUCAGCUUGUUCACAGCAGCUGAAAAGCAAAGCCUCUCUGUCAGUAGAGGUAAAAGAUUAAGAAUGCAGAGUCCGAUGGGGCAUUACCACAUGAUUAUGAAUUAAUGCAAUUUUCCAUCUUUUAUUUCCAAUCCAGGCAUUGCUUUUGAACUCAGUCAUCUUUUCCCCCUUGCCCACUAGUUGCUUGUGAUACAUCAGUAUCCUCACUCACCCCCAACUCCAGAGGCUGAAACUAACUCUCCUCCUCCCUCUUCCAACUGCUGAGGAAGAUGAGUCAAUGGUGUUACUGGACCCUGUGAACUGAUGCUGUGAAGAGAGGCCAUUUAACACGGACUACGGGGAAUGGUGCCACAGGGGGCUCAGUGCUGCCCUUCACUCUCAGCAUUUUGCUCACUCAGCAUUGAUGACAGGAUGUCCCAAAAGUAACAAAAGAUGGGAGCCAGUCCUCUCAUAGCUGUUUCUUCAAUCAUCCCAUCAACAGCUCUUCAUUUAUUGAACUACCUUCCUUUUCCAAAGAGGUAAUGCUGAGAUCAGUCAGAAAGGCUUUCUGAGAAA